UGUGUAGGCGGCUGCGCAAGUCGGAUGUGAAAGCCCCGGGCUCAACCCGGGAAGUGCACCCGAAACUGCGUGGCUUGAGUACCGGAGAGGUUGGUGGAAUUCUCGGUGUAGAGGUGAAAUUCGUAGAUAUCGAGAGGAACACCGGUGGCGAAGGCGGCCAACUGGACGAGUACUGACGCUGAGACACGAAAGCGUGGGGAGCAAACAGGAUUAGAUACCCUGGUAGUCCACGCCGUAAACGAUGGGUGCUAGGUGUCACGGGCUUUGACUCCUGUGGUGCCGUAGCCAACGCAUUAAGCACCCCGCCUGGGAAGUACGGCCGCAAGGCUAAA
rnacentral:rRNA from 1 species